UACGGAGGGUGCAAACGUUAAUCGGAAUUACUGGGCGUAAAGCGCACGUAGGCGGUCCGUUAAGUGGGGUGUGAAAGCCCUGGGCUCAACCUGGGAAUUGCAUUCCAAACUGACGGGCUAGAGUGUGGUAGAGGGGGGUAGAAUUCCCUGUGUAGCGGUGAAAUGCGUAGAUAUAGGGAGGAAUACCUGUGGCGAAGGCGGCCCCCUGGACCAACACUGACGCUGCGGUGCGAAAGCGUGGGGAGCAAACAGG
rnacentral:rRNA from 1 species